AUUGAACGCUGGCGGCAGGCUUAACACAUGCAAGUCGAGCGGAGAUGAGGUGCUUGCACCUUAUCUUAGCGGCGGACGGGUGAGUAAUGCUUAGGAAUCUGCCUAUUAGUGGGGGACAACAUUCCGAAAGGAAUGCUAAUACCGCAUACGUCCUACGGGAGAAAGCAGGGGAUCUUCGGACCUUGCGCUAAUAGAUGAGCAUAAGCAGGAUUAGCUAGUUGGUGGGGUAAAGGCCUACAAAGGCGACGAUCUGUAGCGGGUCUGAGAGGAUGAUCCGCCACACUGGGACUGAGACACGGCCCAGACUCCUACGGGAGGCGGCAGUGGGGAAUAUUGGACAAUGGGGGGAACCCUGAUCCAGCCAUGCCGCGUGUGUGAAGAAGGCCUUAUGGUUGUAAAGCACUUUAAGCGAGGAGGAGGCUACUGAGACUAAUACUCUUGGAUAGUGGACGUUACUCGCAGAAUAAGCACCGGCUAACUCUGUGCCAGCAGCCGCCGUAACAC
rnacentral:rRNA from 1 species